rnacentral:tRNA from 1 species
GCUCCGGUAGUGUAGCUCGGCCAAUCAUUUAGGAUUCUCACUCCUACGACCCGGGUUCAAAUCCCGGCCGGAGCA